ACGAUGCUGCUCAGCCAGACCCGCAGCGGGCAGCCCAGGACACGGAGUAAGAGCCACUGAGCCACGUGAAUUCAGGAGCAACAGAGAGGAAAGUGCACUGAGCGUCUUGUUGCUACAGAGGCAGCAUCCUGGCUCCAGCAAUAAGCCAGCAAAUCUCCACACAAACCCACUACCUGGGAGGAGAUGCUCCUAGAUAAAGCACCAGGAAGCUCAGGGGCUGAACCAACUGCUCAAGUGUCUAGUCCCUCAACACCCCUGCCUGCUCCGAAAGAAAGAUGACUUUUUGACUGUCCUAACAAGUAACUCAAAACUCCAUACUCUAAGCAAGCAACAGUAACCCUGGCUUGGGA